UUUUGUUCUUAUUUUCUUAUGAUUAAACUUACCAAUGACUAUGAUGGUUGAUUGCUGAAAAAGCUUUGCUUCUAUUUAUGCAAUUGGAAGUGGACAAGUCCAUGGAAAAAGAAGGAAUGCGACCACAAGCAGGCUAAGGAGGUUUCCCAAAGGUACGCAAGUCGAUGAAGGUUUGGAAGAUUUUCAAGCUCCUGAAGAUUUGGAAGACCUACAAUAGUUGGUGGAGUGAUUAUGUAAUAUGUUUGUUUAGUUUGGAAACCUGGACACUUGCUCCGCUCAUUUUGCUGGUUGUUAAGCCACUCUGCUCAUUUUGGUUAUGUGGCACACCCAGAAACAUGUACUUCUCCAUUUGUCGCACUAUUUCAUUUUGUUGGUUGCGUGGCACAUUUUAAAACAUAUAUGCACUGUACCUUUUGUGGCACAACCUCCUUAUAUGUAUAUUAUGGUUGUUAUGUUUAUCCAAUGAAGUUUUAAGGUUCUGGA